rnacentral:rRNA from 1 species
GGCUAACACAUGCCAAGUCGAGCGGCAGCACGGAGGUACUUGUACCUGGAUGGCGAGCGGCGGACGGGUGAGUAAUGCCUAGGAAUCUGCCUGGUAGUGGGGGAUAACGCUCGGAAACGGACGCUAAUACCGCAUACGUCCUACGGGAGAAAGCAGGGGACCUUCGGGCCUUGCGCUAUCAGAUGAGCCUAGGUCGGAUUAGCUAGUUGGUGAGGUAAUGGCUCACCAAGGCGACGAUCCGUAACUGGUCUGAGAGGAUGAUCAGUCACACUGGAACUGAGACACGGUCCACACUCCUACGGGAGGCAGCAGUGGGGAAUAUUGGACAAUGGGCGAAAGCCUGAUCCAGCCAUGCCGCGUGUGUGAAGAAGGUCUUCGGAUUGUAAAGCACUUUAAGUUGGGAGGAAGGGCAUUUACCUAAUACGUAAGUGUUUUGACGUUACCGACAGAAUAAGCACCGGCUAACUCUGUGCCAGCAGCCGCGGUAAUACAGAGGGUGCAAGCGUUAAUCGGAAUUACUGGGCGUAAAGCGCGCGUA